UACAGAGGGGGCAAGCGUUGUUCGGAAUUACUGGGCGUAAAGGGCGCGUAGGUGGCCGCCUAAGUCGGACGUGAAAUCCCUCGGCUCAACCGGGGAACUGCGUCCGAUACUGGGUGGCUUGAAUCCGGGAGAGGGAUGUGGAAUUCCAGGUGUAGCGGUGAAAUGCGUAGAUAUCUGGAGGAACACCGGUGGCGAAGGCGGCAUCCUGGACCGGUAUUGACGCUGAGGCGCGAAAGCCAGGGGAGCAAACGGG
rnacentral:rRNA from 1 species